AAUCAUGAUUACAGUUGGAUCACCUAAGGCAGAGAGGGAAGGAACCAACAGGUAUAUGAAGAAGACUGUAUUUCCUCCUCAGGAAGAAAAAAAUCACUUAUAAAAAAAUGGUUUUGCCUUGAACUUACUUCCAGGGGACAUGGAGAAGUUCUUGGACUAUUUGGAAGACCCGUGAUAGUCACUGAAUUACAACAGGAGAAAAAUCAGACAUCCAUGCCGUGGAUGCUAGUGUAUUUUUAGAAGCUGAAAGCUUUUGAUCCCACAAAAGGAAUCUGGAAAUAAAUCAUGGGGCAGAUGUUUUGACCUUCACAUCAGUGGAUAUUUUUCUAGGUAUUUUGCUUUUCAGGAAAGCAGAGUCUUGAUGAUAUAUCUAGUGACUCAACUUAUAAACAGGAAGCCAAAGGUACUGUGACCUUAGAUAGAUGUGGUCAUUUGUAAGUGUCCUAUUGCUUGUGAAAUCACAUCAUUAAUUCAAUUAUAUAUCUUAUUAAACCUAGUGCUACGAACCUGUGUCCUCAUAAAAUGUAUAUGUUGAAUUCUUAACCCCAAGUAUCUCAGAAUGUGACUGAACUUUGUUAUAGGGCUUUGGGAAAGUAAUUGAGGUGAAAUGAGGUCAUACAGUAGGCCCUAAUGCAAUGCAACUGCUGUCCUUAUAAGGACAGGGGGUUAGGACAAAGACUCACAAACAAUAAUGACCAUGAGAAGAUGCUGGAGGAAGACAAUUAUUACAAGCCAAGGAGAGAAGCUUCCGUAGAGACAGCCCUGCCUACACUUAGAUCUUGCACUCCUAGCCUCUAUGAGAAAAUAAAUUUCUGUUGUUAAA